rnacentral:rRNA from 1 species
AUUGAACGCUGGCGGCAUGCCUUACACAUGCAAGUCGAACGGUAACGCGGGGCAACCUGGCGACGAGUGGCGAACGGGUGAGUAAUGCAUCGGAACGUGCCCAGUAGUGGGGGAUAGCCCGGCGAAAGCCGGAUUAAUACCGCAUACGACCUACGGGUGAAAGGGGGGGAUCGCAAGACCUCUCGCUAUUGGAGCGGCCGAUGUCAGAUUAGGUAGUUGGUGGGGUAAAGGCCUGCCAAGCCUACGAUCUGUAGCUGGUCUGAGAGGACGACCAGCCACACUGGGACUGAGACACGGCCCAGACUCCUACGGGAGGCAGCAGUGGGGAAUUUUGGGACAAUGGGCGCAAGCCUGAUCCAGCCAUGCCGCGUGCGGGAAGAAGGCC